rnacentral:rRNA from 1 species
CCUACGGGUGGCAGCAGUGGGGGAUAUUGGACAAUGGGGGAAACUCUGAUCCAGCGACGUCGCGUGCGUGAAGAAGUAUCUCGGUAUGUAAAGCUCUAUCAGCAGGGAAGUAAGCAAUGACGGUACCUGAGUAAGAAGCCUCGGCUAACUACGGGCCAGCAGCCGCGGUAAUACGUAGGGGGCAAGCGUUAUCCGGAAUUACUGGGUGUAAAGGGAGCGUAGACGGUAAUGCAAGUCUGGAGUGAAAGGCGGGGGCCCACCCCCCGGACUGCUCUGGGAACUGUGUAACUGGAGUGCAGGAGAGGCAGGCGGAAUUCCUAGUGUAGCGGUGAAAUGCGUAGAUAUUAGGAGGAACACCAGUUGCGAAGGCGGCCUGCUGGACUGUAACUGACGUUGAGGCUCGAAAGCGUGGGGAGCGAACAGGAUUAGAUACCCCAGUAGUC